GACGAACGCUGGCGGCGUGCCUAAUACAUGCAAGUCGAGUGGACUGAAUGGGAGCUUGCUCUUGUUCGGUCAGCGGCGGACGGGUGAGUAACACGUGGGCAACCUGCCCGCAAGACCGGGAUAACUCCGGGAAACCGGAGCUAAUACCGGAUAACACCGAAGACCGCAUGGUCUUUGGUUGAAAGGCGGCGCAAGCUGCCACUUGCGGAUGGGCCCGCGGCGCAUUAGCUAGUUGGUGAGGUAACGGCUCACCAAGGCGACGAUGCGUAGCCGGCCUGAGAGGGUGACCGGCCACACUGGGACUGAGACACGGCCCAGACUCCUACGGGAGGCAGCAGUAGGGAAUCUUCCGCAAUGGGCGAAAGCCUGACGGAGCGACGCCGCGUGAGCGAAGAAGGCCUUCGGGUCGUAAAGCUCUGUUGUGAGGGACGAAGGAGCGCCGUUUGAAGAAGGCGGCGCGGUGACGGUACCUCACGAGGAAGCCCCGGCUAACUACGUG
rnacentral:rRNA from 1 species